rnacentral:rRNA from 1 species
UAAGCAUAUCAAUAAGCGGAGGAAAAGAAACCAACAGGGAUUGCCCUAGUAACGGCGAGUGAAGCGGCAACAGCUCAAAUUUGAAAUCUGGCCCUCGGGUCCGAAUUGUAAUUUGUAGAGGAUGCUUUUGGUGAGGUACCUUCCGAGUUCCCUGGAACGGGACGCCAUAGAGGGUGAGAGCCCCGUCUGGUUGGAUACCGAUCCUCUGUAAAGCUCCUUCGACGAGUCGAGUAGUUUGGGAAUGCUGCUCUAAAUGGGAGGUAUAUGUCUUCUAAAGCUAAAUAUUGGCCAGAGACCGAUAGCGCACAAGUAGAGUGAUCGAAAGAUGAAAAGCACUUUGAAAAGAGAGUUAAAAAGUACGUGAAAUUGUUGAAAGGGAAGCGCUCAUGACCAGACUUGGGCUUGGUUGAUCAUCCAGGGUUCUCCCUGGUGCACUCUUCCAGCCCAGGCCAGCAUCAGUUCGCUGUGGGGGAUAAAGGCUUUGGGAAUGUGGCUCCUCCGGGAGUGUUAUAGCCCAUUGUGUAAUACCCUGUGGUGGACUGAGGUUCGCGCAUCUGCAAGGAUGCUGGCGUAAUGGUCAUCAGCGACCCGUC